AGUGAACGCUGGCGGUAGGCUUAACACAUGCAAGUCGAACGGCAGCACAGUAAGAGCUUGCUCUUACGGGUGGCGAGUGGCGGACGGGUGAGGAAUACAUCGGAAUCUACUUUUUCGUGGGGGAUAACGUAGGGAAACUUACGCUAAUACCGCAUACGACCUACGGGUGAAAGCAGGGGAUCUUCGGACCUUGCGCGAUUGAAUGAGCCGAUGUCGGAUUAGCUAGUUGGCGGGGUAAAGGCCCACCAAGGCGACGAUCCGUAGCUGGUCUGAGAGGAUGAUCAGCCACACUGGAACUGAGACACGGUCCAGACUCCUACGGGAGGCAGCAGUGGGGAAUAUUGGACAAUGGGCGCAAGCCUGAUCCAGCCAUACCGCGUGGGGGAAGAAGGCCUUCGGGUUGUAAAGCCCUUUUGUUGGGAAAGAAAAGCAGCAGGUUAAUACCCCGCUGUUCUGACGGUACCCAAAGAAUAAGCACCGGCUAACUUCGUG
rnacentral:rRNA from 1 species